GGGUCUUGAACUGAGUCCACGGUCCGAGUGUGACCCGCUGUCCCCGCCAAGCCCUGCCCUCUCCAGCCUGGGCCUCCGCAGUGGAGACAGAUCCUCCACUACGUUAGACCAUGCAGCAUUUCCUGAGUGAGAACCGGUUUUGCUUCUCUGCAUGGAAGUGGGCGAGAAGUGCAAAUGCCGGGCGGGGCCUCGGGGGGCUUCCUCCUGGGGCUGCCUGGGUCCACGUCUGUCUGCGUGCUCUCACCUGCCUACAGGUGCCUGGAAAGCUCUGGAAGGUGCUCACAGGUGCAUUGCGGGGAGGACUUCGGGGAAGGAACAGUGUGGGGGACUGGGGUGCAGGUGAAGGGGGCUCUCACUGUUUAAUAUCAAGCCUGCUUUAGUGUGGCUUUGUAUAAUUGUAAAAUCACAUUGUUAAAAAUGAUAAUAGUAAAAUAAAUAAUAAUAAAGACGUCUUUUAUUUUAUUUUAUUUUUUUUGAGAUGGAAUCUCGCUCUGUCCCCCAGGCUGGAGUGCAGCGGCAUGAUCUCAGCUCACUGCAACCUCUGCCUCCCAGGUUCAAGCGAUUAUCCUGUCUCAGUGUCCUAGUACCUGGGACUAGAGAUGUGCGCCACCACGCCAGGCUAAUUUUUGUAUUUUUCGUAAAGACAGGGUUUCACCAUGUUGACAAGGCUGGUCUUGAACCCCUGACCUCAGGUGAUCCACCCAUCUCGGCCUCUCAAAGUGCUGGGCUCCGUCUACUGUGCUCUGGGACUUGCCCACUGGCAUGGGGUGUGGGUGAGGGGCCUGCCCCGAUGCCCUGCACGGAGGCGUCCAUGUCCGCAGCCCCAGCUGCAUGCAUUUCUUCACACGUCCCCUGCACACGGGAUGCACUGUACCACGUGCCCAGCUGUGGGCUGUGUGUGGGGUGGGGACGUGCAGGUCCCCGAGGUGGCAAGGGGGAGUUCCGAGUUCCAGGGACAAUGUGGAUGGAGAAGAAGAUGCAGGAGAGACCUAUGGGGCCUGUGGGGACUCCAGGCAUGGCGCAGUCAAGCCCGCUGGCUGGUGCUGAACAUGGCUGCGGGCGGGCGUUGCGGUGCUCGGGACCGGUGGGCGCCACGGCCUGGCUGGGGCGAUCAGGUGCCAGCUGCCUCUCCUGGCUGGGGCUGGCUUGGUCUUAGCACACAGACGAGCCGGCAGCACAAGCACAGCCCUCGGUCUUGGCUGGGAGCAGGACGGGCCCUGCCAGGCGCCGGAUCAGAGCCAGGAGCUCCAUGGCAAGCCCCGCGGGACAUAUUGUACGUCAGCUCCACGGCAGCCCUUUCCAGACGGGCCUCUGCUCGCCUGGGUAACCGGUGGCGGAAUGCGGAGGUGCCCAGCCCCGGCUGCCGCCCCGCCUGCACCCCGAACUGCCGGCCUGGAAAUGUCCUCUCUGAGCCCUGGAGGCGGCCGGUGCUUUCUGGGGAGCUCUGCCUUCUUCCUGCUCCCCAUCUGUCCGUGGAGCUGGCACCUGUCCUCGGAUCCGAGCUGGCCAGCCAGCACUGCCUCGAGGUGCACGGGGGUGUCUCGGGGAGACUGGUGGAGUGAUUGCUGCAGGCUGCUGCCCUUCACCGAGCCUCCUGUGGCCACUCUCGGGGUAACCCGUGUAUGCUGCCUGGGGGUCCCUGCACCAGCCCUCUGGGAGGCACGCAGGCUCCAGAGUUCCAGUGGGGAGCACAUAGUGUGGUGGUGGGACACCCGUUGGGGCCACACACCACUGACGGGCAGCAGCCCCCAUGCCCCCGCCCCCAGUCCCCCGUCUGCUGCUCCAGAGCCCUGAGCAAAGUGUGGACCUGGGCACCCUGAAUAAGACUCAGGUGGGGUCUGAGUGCCAUGUCUCAGCCGCUGUGGCUGAGGGGAUAGAGCGGCCCGGGGCCAGGCGCGGUGGCUCAAGCCUGUAAUCCCAGCCCUUUGGGAGGCCGAGGCGGGUGGAUCACGAGGUCAAGAGAUCGAGACCAUCCUGGUCAACAUGGUGAAACCCCGUCUCUACUAAAAAUACAGAAAAUUAGCUGGGCAGGGUGGCGCGUGCCUGUAAUCCCAGCUACUCAGGAGGCUGAGGCAGGAGAAUUGCCUGAACCCAGGGGGCGGAGGUUGCGGUGAGCCGAGAUCGCGCCAUUGCACUGCAGCCUGGGUAACAAGCGAAACUCGGCCUUAAAAAAAAAAAAAAAAAAAAAAAGAGCAGCCCUUUUGUGCUAUUCUCAUAUUCUUUUGGGUGGAUUAACCAAGUUGUUUUUGAUCUUCACGUGUGUAGCUUAUCCUUUUUAUUAUUGAGGAUGUUCCAUUUUAUAAAUAUAAAAUCUGUUUACGUUUUUUCCUGGCCCUGUGCCUGUCGGUUGUUUCCAGUUUUUGACUAUUAUAAAUACAGUUGCUAUAAACAUUCUUGAGCAAGUAUUUUUGGGGACAAACGCUUCUAUUUCCUUUGGAUAAAUACCUAGGAGGGCCCUAGGAGAGGUGGAGGUUUAACGCUACGUGAGAGAAUGCCAAGCAGUUUCCUAGGCGGCGGCCCCAUUAUACACGUCGCCCGCCCUGUCGGCGCGUUCUGGCUCUU
rnacentral:lncRNA from 13 species